UAGAAUAUUUGGGAUAUCAGUAUUUACAGCACAAAUCUGGUAAAAGUGCCACUAUUGUCGCAAAAGAUGUGGUGGGAGAGCAAAACUCACCAUUAAUUGUGACUUUAGUAUAACUAAAUGUCAUUUAGACACUUAUUCAAAAUGUUUCACCUUUAUCAUCAAACAUUAUCUUAGAACAACUGAGUUCAAAUUUUCAAGAUGUAUCUCAAAUAUCUUCUCAAUCUCAUGGAGAAUCCUUGAC